CAACUACUCCCUCUGUCCCAAAUUUCUUGUCUUAGAUUUGUCUACAUACGGAUGUAUCUAAUACUAAAAUGUGACUUGAUACAUCCGUAUCUAGAAAAAUCUAAGACAAGAAUUUUGGGACGGAGGGAGUACUUU
rnacentral:pre_miRNA from 1 species